AAUGGGAAUAAACCGACCCUGGAACAGAAUAUUAACUAUAUAAAGACAAUCGAGAUGACACUGGUUAGACUACCGACGACCAGUUUCAAGGCGACCGUCAGAGCUGACUGUGCUGUUUAUACAUGGAGCGUGCUCCCUCUGCCUAUAAAAGUUCUUGCCCACUGAUUGGGUUAGGGAGGAGUCGGCCUUUGGAUAUGAGCCCCCUGCCCUUGGCUGCCAGCCUCCAAAAUAAAGCAAACUUUUCUUUCCACUAAUCUUACCUCUUUAUUGGCUUUCCAGCGGGAAGCAGCUGGGCUCACUUUCGCUAACAGAUUUUGGCGCCAACGUGAGGCUGUGCUCUCGCGAUAUCUGGCUCCUGGGGGUUUCUCCAUUGGUGCUGCUGCCGUGACGACGUGCUAGGAAGGCUGUGAGGAGCCUCGCUGGCCCCAGGAAGAGGUUUGGGGAGGAUAUUCCUAGCAGCUGCCUAAAGCAUUGGUUUCGGGGGUCCUUCCUGCUUCUCCUCUGCUCAGCACUGGCUGCCCAUAUGUGCUUUUCCUUGGUGGAAUGAGAAGACACCUCUGGACAAGCUGACGAGCUCCCAGACCCAUCUCUUCAGUCAUUUCAGAUCCAUACGGACUGUAGCCCGCCAGGCUCCUCUGUCCACGGACUCUCCAGGCAAGAAUACUGGAGUGGGUUGCCAUGCCCUCCUCCAGGGGAUCAUCCCCAUCCAGUGAUCGAACCCAUGUCUCAUGUCUCCAGCAUUGGCAACUCCACAACUAAGGAUCUAAAGCAGCAAAGAAAGUUAGAAGGCUAAGAAGGCUAUCUACUAGAGAAACUUUCGAGGUUGCAAAAUGGUUCAACUGCCAGCACCUUUUGGGAAAGUCACUGAAUUAUAUACAAAGAGUUUAACACCGAAGAGUUUAAGACCUAAGCAUCAAGAUGAAACAAAAAAUAGAGAAAAAAGAAGACCAUAUGAAGACAUAGCAAUGGUGAGACACAUCGAAAAAAUACCAUGCUGAGGAUGCAAGCAGAGAUUGGAGUAAUGUAUCAACACAGCAGGGAACACUAGGGGUUGCUGACAACUGCCACCAACUAGGAGCAGACAAGGAAGGGCUCUCCCUACUGCCUGCAUGGCCCUGCCAGCACCUGACUUCAGACUUCUGGCCUCUGGCCUUCUGAUGAAUUCUCUACAGUGAGAGAAUAAAGUUCUGUUAUUUUAAGCCACCAAAAAUAAAAUAAGAUUAAAAAAUAUAUAAAAUUAAAUAGAGAAGAUAAAAUGUAAACUAACAAAAUAUAAAUAAAAAUAGAAGCAAAAUAAAAUACUAAUGAAGCAGUCAUAUAGCCAUCAGUAGUAUUCAUCUUUACAUGCAUAGUUAUGUGGUCAACCAGUUGCUCUCAGAAAUUAUGAACUAUGAAAAGAACAAAUCAGCUGUCCAUAUUUAGGCAAUUAAUGUGUCCAAGUGGAGGCUUGUCCUGUUCAAAUCAAAAUAUCUACUUGGAAAUAUAAAAAUGUUAUUGAAGCUCCUUUUGGAAAUCAAGGCCUAGGGUGAGAAUGUGGGAAUGAGAGUCAGACUUUCUGUCUUGCAGAGG
ensembl:lncRNA